AUUGAACGCUGGCGGCAUGCCUUACACAUGCAAGUCGAACGGCAGCACGGGAGCAAUCCUGGUGGCGAGUGGCGAACGGGUGAGUAAAGCAUCGGAACGUGCCCAGUCGUGGGGGAUAACGUAGCGAAAGCUACGCUAAUACCGCAUACGAUCUGUGGAUGAAAGCGGGGGACCGUAAGGCCUCGCGCGAUUGGAGCGGCCGAUGUCAGAUUAGGUAGUUGGUGAGGUAAAGGCUCACCAAGCCGACGAUCUGUAGCUGGUCUGAGAGGACGACCAGCCACACUGGGACGGAGACACGGCCCAGACUCCUACGGGAGGCAGCAGUGGGGAAUUUUGGACAAUGGGCGCAAGCCUGAUCCAGCAAUGCCGCGUGCAGGAUGAAGGCCUUCGGGUUGUAAACUGCUUUUGUACGGAGCGAAAAGGCUUCCACUAAUACUGGGGGCUCAUGACGGUACCGUAAGAAUAAGCACCGGCUAACUACGUGCCAGCCGCCGCCGUAAUAC
rnacentral:rRNA from 1 species